AAGACGGUAUUUGCAGUUCUCCGCAGAGGCCUUCAUCCCCACGUUCGACAUGACAGCCCCAUGGAAGGAAGGCAGCACGGGGUAGCCGUCCGCACCAGCUCCUGGCUCCAGUGGUCUGAGUUCGAGGCCCAGUCUCCUCACUUCACUGGCGCCCUUACCGGGUGACUUCACUUCCCUGCAUCUUGAUAUCUUGAUUUCAUCAUCUGUAUCCUCUGGACGAUAACAGACUCUAUCUCAGAUGUUUAUGGCAGUUUAAUGAAUCGAUAUUGCUAAAGUCAGCCAAGCGAGAGGAGUAUGUGUUAAAUAAAUAAAAGCUGUGUGCUGAUAUGAAACAGUCUGUACAAACUCUGGGCCUGCGAGGCUGGGAUGUGGCACAGCUGGACUCAGCCUUUCUUCUUUCUGGAGGUCCUGGAGCAAGAACUGCACCCUCAUAAAGCCCCAGCUGUUGUGAAAAGAUGCCAAGGGGGGACACUGGUCAACUGCAGGAGGGCGGGGCAGGCCUCAACCUCCCAGGGAGGAGUGGAUGACCUAGGACGAUUUAGCUUGCAGAUAGGGGGAGGGCAAGCGUGGUGGUCCUCAAGGGCUGUAGAUGAAUACAGGCAUAAAAAUGGUUCUUACUUUCAGGAUAAAACCGGCGACAAGAGAUGGACGUUUCAGUGAAGAGAACUUCUGACCCAUCAUCAGGAAGACUGGUUGCCCCACCAAGGCUGGCUGACCCUUCUUGUCUGGGGUUCUGUCGGGAGCUUCUCAAGGAAGCUCUUUCUUUAGCACCCACUGGUGACAGGCACAAUGGAUGCAGCCAGCAAAACCUGCCCCCGUGCUGCCUACCGUCUUGGGGGCCAGAUAAUUACCAGUCAGAGAGAGAGAGAGAGCACAAGUGGGGAAUGGAGGGGCAGAGGGAGAGAGAAUCUCAUCACUCUGAGAUUCAUGACCUGACCUGAAAUCAAGAGUCAGCCACUUAACUGACUGAGCCACCCAGGGUGGAUAUAGGCAGACUACAUUUUUCCAUACCCUUGGAGACAAGAGAGGCCAUGUGACCAGUUCCAGCUAAAGAGAUGUGAAUGGAAAUAUGUUUACCUUCUGGGCCAAGGCACCUAAGAAUGUGUGCUACCUCCACAUUUUUUCUUCUUUAGAAGCACACUGAGAUGACAGAGCCAUGUGGUGAGAGACGCCUGGAUCCCUGGGUCACUGCGUGGAGGAGAACUUCCCUAAGAAUUGCCUGACCACUGCACUUUGUGUUACAGUAUAGUAGCAGAGAUGACAUGGGUACUUCAAAAAUCACGUGGAAUGUAGUAAGUGCCAGACAUCUGAUACGUACCUUUAUAAAUCAUCGCUGAGUGAAUGAUGUGAAUUGCCACAAGAGUUCCGAGGAGAGAGAAAUUAUGUCUGAUGGGAAUGGAUCCAGGCAAUCUUUGGAAUGGCAUUUGAAUUGGGCCUUGGAAACCAGUUAUUUUUGGACGUUCAGAGAAAUAGAAGAAGGUAAGAACAAUUCAGGCAUGGGAGCAGCAUGAAGGCAUGGAAUAUCUUUUUAUGUUUAUGGAGAUAUAAUUUAUAUACCAGAAAGUUCAUCCACUUAAAAUGUACAAUUCAGUGGUUUUAAAGUGUAUCUAAGAGUUACACAACCAUCACCAUAACCUAAUUUUAGAACAUUUUCAUCAUCUCCAAAAAGAAAGUACUCAUUAGCAGUCACUCCCUAUCCUCUUGACCCCACCCCCUCCCUGGCCUACCCCGUGGCCCUAGACAACCACUGAUCUACUUUCUAUUUGUCUAUUCUGGACAUUUCGUAUAAAUGGAAUCAUCCAAUAUAUAAUCUCUUAUGACUGGCUUCUUUCAUGUAGGCCUAAAGUUUACCAGGCUCAUCCACGUUGUAGCAUGAAUCAGCACCAUGUUCUCUUUCGUUGCGGAAUAAUAUUCCAUUAUAUGAAUGCCCCACAUUUUAUUAUCCAUUUGUGAGUUGAUGGACAUUUAGGUUAUUUCCACUUUUUAACUACUGUGAAUAAUGCCGCCCUGAGUAUCUGUGUUCAACUUUUGUGUGCAGGUAUGUUUUUAUUUUCUGAUUCCACUAAGAGUGGAAUGGAUGAGUCAAAUGGUAACUAUGUUUAACCUUUUGAGGAACUGGCAAACUGUUUUCCAAGGUAGCUGCACCACCUCAUUUCCAGCAGGCACCUAUGAGAACUCCAAUUUCUCUACAUCCUCUCUCACAUCUGUCUUGUUGAUCACAGCCAUCUGGUGGGUGUGAAGUGGCAGCUUGUGAUUUUGAUUUUCGAUUCCCAAUGGUUAAUGAUGUCGAGCCUCUCUUCAUGUGCUUAUUGGCCAUUUGUAGAUCUUCUGAGAAAUGCCUAUUUAAAUCCUUUGCCUCUUCUUAAAUUGGGUUCUUUGACAUUUUAUUGUUGAGUUCCAAGAGUUCUUUAUAUAUUCUGGCUACAAGACUCUCAUGAGUUACACGAUUUCAAAUA